rnacentral:rRNA from 1 species
UAGGGAAUAUUGCACAAUGGGGGAAACCCUGAUGCAGCGACGCCGCGUGGAGGAAGAAGGUCUUCGGAUUGUAAACUCCUGUUGUUGGGGAAGAUAAUGACGGUACCCAACAAGGAAGUGACGGCUAACUACGUGCCAGCAGCCGCGGUAAAACGUAGGUCACAAGCGUUGUCCGGAAUUACUGGGUGUAAAGGGAGCGCAGGCGGGAAGACAAGUUGGAAGUGAAAUCUAUGGGCUCAACCCAUAAACUGCAUUUGAAACUGUAGAGCUUGAGUGAAGUAGAGGCAGGCGGAAUUCCCCGUGUAGCGGUGAAAUGCGUAGAGAUGGGGAGGAACACCAGUGGCGAAGGCGGCCUGCUGGGCUUUAACUGACGCUGAGGCACGAAAGCGUGGGUAGCAAACAGGAUUAGAUACCCUGGUAGUCCACGCUGUAAACGAUGAUUACUAGGUGUGGGGGGUCUGACCCCUUCCGUGCCGGAGUUAACACAAUAAGUAAUCCACCUGGGGAGUACGGCCGCAAGGUUGAAACUCAAAGGAAUUGACGGGGGCCCGCACAAGCAGUGGAGUAUGUGGUUUAAUUCGACGCAACGCGAAGAACCUUACCAGGUCUUGACAUCGUAUGCAUAAUGUAGAGAUACACGAAGUCCUUCGGGACAUACAGACAGGUGGUGCAUGGUUGUCGUCAGCUCGUGUCGUGAGAUGUUGGGUUAAGUCCCGCAACGAGCGCAACCCUUGUAUUUAGUUGCUACGCAAGAGCACUCUAGAUAGACUGCCGUGGACAACACGGAGGAAGGUGGGGAUGACGUCAAAUCAUCAUGCCCCUUAUGACCUGGGCUACACACGUACUACAAUGGCAAUAGAACAGAGGGAAGCGACUCAGCGAUGAGAAGCAGAUCCCGAAAAAUUGUCUCAGUUCGGAUUGCAGGCUGCAACCCGCCUGCAUGAAGUCGGAAUUGCUAGUAAUCGCGGAUCAGCAUGCCGCGGUGAAUACGUUCCC